GGAGAGAUGUGAGAGUGGUUUAAUCAGCACGCUUGGAAAGUGUGUAAACUGUCAAAAGUUUCGAGGGUUCGAAUCCCUCUCUCUCCGCCA
rnacentral:tRNA from 1 species